rnacentral:rRNA from 1 species
AAAGCGUGCGCAGGCGGUUAUGUAAGACAGAUGUGAAAUCCCCGGGCUCAACCUGGGAACUGCAUUUGUGACUGCAUGGCUAGAGUACGGUAGAGGGGGAUGGAAUUCCGCGUGUAGCAGUGAAAUGCGUAGAUAUGCGGAGGAACACCGAUGGCGAAGGCAAUCCCCUGGACCUGUACUGACGCUCAUGCACGAAAGCGUGGGGAGCAAACAGGAUUAGAUACCCUAGU